CUGUGUGUGAUGGGUUGGCAGUGUAUUGUUAGCUGGUCGAAUUGAUAAGUGGCAUCAGCUAACAUGCAGCUGCUAACUUAUUGCAUAUGCU
rnacentral:pre_miRNA from 12 species